AUACUUAACUGACGCGAGAGGCACCUUGAUCAACUAGGAGGUCCUCUCAGGAUGAGGCCCUUUCAUUGCACUUCGACUGGGUUGACUCCUGCGAUUACCCCUAAUGUGGGUAACUCGAGCGUAUAAUUUCUGGUAGUGGGGACCUGCGUUCGCGCUCGUCCCCU
rnacentral:snRNA from 1 species